AUGUUGUUGGAUGGCACCAGUAUGUGACGUUCCUAGGAACUUAGCUCUGAGGAAAAAACAAAGCAAACCGGGGAAGUACGUAGCCUUGAACCGGAGUAACCAGGGACAGAAAGGAAGGAAAAGGGUUUCAUACCUUCACGGAACGACGCUCACUUCGUCCGCCUGAGGAGGAAAAAUAAGUUUAAACCUUUCUGUGAAAAAGAACGUGGAGCCCUUUCUGCCGAAUGGAAACCCGCUAAACCCCGUUAUGGAGUCUGCUACAAUUAAGCAUCUAACCAGGAAUUGUCUAUGGACACAACUCUCCAGGCAAUUCAUGCAGAAAGUGUGUUGACGAUUUCCUGUUUCUUGCAGAGCGCUUCACCGUUAAGGCUCUUAGUAGCUGGCGAUUGUAAAGCACAUUUUCCGCUUCAUGAAAAUACAGUGCUCUUCUUGUGUUUGUAA
rnacentral:lncRNA from 1 species